GGAAAUAUGCCCGAGCUAUUUAAGGACUACUUUGAUAGAGUAAACUACAGAGGUUAAAACCCUCUUAUUUCCC
rnacentral:tRNA from 1 species